GAGUUUUGAUCAUGGCUCAGGAUGAACGCUAGCUACAGGCUUAACACAUGCAAGUCGAGGGGAAACGACAUCGAAAGCUUGCUUUUUGAUGGGCGUCGACCGGCGCACGGGUGAGUAACGCGUAUCCAACCUGCCCCACCACUUGGGGAUAACCUUGCGAAAGUAAGACUAAUACCCAAUGAUAUUUCUAGAAGACAUCUGAAAGAGAUUAAAGAUUUAUCGGUGAUGGAUGGGGAUGCGUCUGAUUAGCUUGUUGGCGGGGUAACGGCCCACCAAGGCAACGAUCAGUAGGGGUUCUGAGAGGAAGGUCCCCCACAUUGGAACUGAGACACGGUCCAAACUCCUACGGGAGGCAGCA
rnacentral:rRNA from 1 species